rnacentral:lncRNA from 1 species
AAGAAAAGUAAAUGUGGAAGACAAAAUAAUGGCCUCCCAAAGAUGUCCAUGUCCCCACAGUUGUGAAUGCGUUACCUAACAUGGCACAGGGACUCUGCAGUUAUAACUAAAUUAAGGAUCUCAAAAUGGGGAGAUUAUCCUGGAUUUCCAGGGGGCCCAAUGUAAUCACAGGAGUUCUUAUAAGGGAAAUAGGGCAGUGGGAGAGGCAGAGAAGAUGGUGUGAUGAUGGAAACAGACACACACACAGAGAGAAAGAAACUUGAAGACUCUAUAUUUUGAGCCUUAAAAGUGAAGGACAUGAGCCAAGAAAUGCAGGUAAUCUCUAGAAGCUGGAAAAUGAAAUUAAACAGAUUUUCUCUUAGCACCUCCAGAAGAAACCUGCUCUACUAACAGCCCAAUGAAACCCAUUUUGGAUUCAGGACUAUACUUCAUUUGCUUUUGUAUUUCUAAGGCCUUGCACAGUACCUGGUUUAUAGUCAGUAGAGACUCAACUUAUAUUUGUUGAACUAUUGGCAACUCCAAUUGCAGUCAAAUUGCCAAAUAAAGGAAAGAACACUACGGUAAAUGCUAAACUUAUUAACUUAAAUAUGUGAGAUAAAAUAAAAAUGUUAACCUUUACCCUCUUAAGUUCCUAAUUUUUUAUUGUGCUAAAAUAUGUAUAACAUAAAAAUUUAUGAUUUUAACUACUUUCAGGCAUACUGCACUGCCACAUUAAGUACAUUCAUAUUGUUGUGCAACUAUCACUAACACCCACAUCCAGCCUUUUCAUCUUCCAAAACUAAAACUCCAUAACCAUUAAACAACAAUUGCCCAUACCCCCCUCCUCCUAGCCCCUGGAACCACCAUUCUAUUUCCUGUCUCUAUAAUUUUGACUCAUAAGUGGACUCAUACAGUAUUUGUCCUUUGGUGGCUGGUUUAUUUCACUUGGCAUAAUUUUUCAAGGUUCAUCCAUGUUGUAGCAUGGGUCAGAAUUUCUUUACUCUUUAAAACUGACUAAUAUUAUUCUAUUGUAUGCAUACCCUACAUUUUGUUUAUCCAUGCAUCGACUGAUUGACACUUGGGUUGCUUCCUCUUUUGGCUUUCAUGAAUAAUACUGCUGUGAAUAUGAGUGUACCAAUAUCUGUUCAAGUCCCUACUUUUAACUUUGUAAGGUAUAUACCAAGUAAUGGAAUUGCUGGAUCACAUGAUAAUUCUGUGCUUAAUUUUUGAGGAGUCACCAUAGUGUUUUCCAUAGCAGCUGCAUCAUUUUACAGUUCCACUGGCAAUGCACAAGGAAGGGUUCCAAUUUCUCCAUCCUGCCGAUGGUUAUUUUCUGUGUAUAUGCAUGUGUGUAUCUGUGUGUGUGUCUGUGUGUUUUGGUAAUAGCUGUAUCAGUGAGAAUAAAGUGAUAUCUCAUUGUGAAGUUCCUUGGGUUUUUGGACCAAUGUGCAUUUUCCUGCUCACUCUAAGUCCCUUCUAAAUCUCAAACUACUCGUGAGUCUUAAACUGAAAGAAAACGUUCUUGAAAUCAUAUGAAUGAGGGACAUUUCCCACAGGAUAAUAUUCUCUUCAUUUUUGCAUAGUGACAUGGCAGUGCUGAAAUACCUGACACUUUGUGGUCAAUACACAGCUUUUUCCUACCAUGUGAGUCCUAAAUUAGUGUUUGUCCUCUCUUUAAUGAUAUAGUUCAUUUUGAUCCUAUUUUGUUUAUACCUUUAUUCUAUUCAUCCAGCUUUCCAAGCAACUGUAUCCGAGAGUCACUGGCAUGUUAAUAAAGAAAAUAUUACUUACGAACUGCAUUUUUAUAAAUCUAGGAGCAAAUUUUAAAACAUUUGGUAUUAUGCUAUUGUCAUUAUAACUUUAUUGUUACAGAUACAUUUGCUUUAAUCACUGUUCCAAGGAAAUUUACUUUUAAAAAGAAAGGAAACAGAUUUUAUUGACUUUCAGUGUAAAAGGCACUUUGCCUAAAAGAAAAUUAAAAUCGAUCUGUUUUUUGAAAACUUUCCAAAUAAAAUAUCUCAAAGUACAUAUCAAUAGGUUAAAAUUUUGAACUCUAUCUAGAGGGAAAAUCCAAUGCACAAAACAAUAUAUUUCACUAAAUAAGGAACUCAGUAACUUUGAACCUGAUUACUUUGAAGCACAUAUAUGUAGAAAGAAGAUAAACAAGCAGCUCAACCAGUAAUUAAUUGGGCAAACAGUUUAAUAAAAGAAAACUACUCCUGUCCUAGCCAUUUCUACCUUAGGUGGCAAGGAUCAACCAGAAAGAACAGAAGCAUUUAAGCAAGUUUUACAGUAUUUAGAAAGUUACACAAAGGCAUCAAUGGUACAAGUUGACUCUGUACCAAGAACAAGGCCAUGCCUGCCAAAGAAAUGCAAAGUGUAAAUGUUUAGCAAAGAAACUAGGUUAAGCAUGAAGGAUUAUGUGGGUGCCAGGAAUGCCACAAUAAGCCUAUUUUACCUUAUCAGAGAGGUGAUUAAUAAUGAUGCAUUUGCAUCAAAAUCAGACCCACAAAGUUAAAAUGUGCCAACUCUGGUCAAUAUGAUGAACAACCAGUUCUCAAAAUUUAAUGUGCAUACAUAUCACCUGGAAAUCUUGUUAAAAUGUCAGAUUCUGAGUUAGUAGGUCUGGGAUAGUGCCUGUGAUUCUGCAUUUCUAACAAACUCCUAUAUGAUGCCAAUAUAGUGGCCCAUAGCCCACAAUUUUAAUAGCAUAAUGUAUACAAUCAGAAGGCCUGAAAAACUAGGUGGAAAUUGAACUCUCUAGGGCUUUUGGUAAAGCAUUUGCUUUUCUGACAGAAGAGCAGACAUUGUUGAAGCCACCAUAUUCCUCUGUUUACAGCACAGAUAGAGAUUGCAGCAGCCACUUGCAAUUAUGAGUAAAAAGCCACCAAUCUGAGGCUGGUAUAGAGAAAAUGUAGAAAUUGCCUGUGUUUUUGAUGUCAUCAUUAAGCUACUGUACCAGCCUUGGACUGUCUUAUAAGGGAAAUAAAUAGAUACUUGGUUAAGCAACUGUAGGGGUGAGGGCAGGCUGCCCCAAGAUAGGCCACUUUGGCAUGAACAUUAUUUGGAGUUAAAAGUAAUCAACACUCUGCAGAUGUAGGAAAAUCUCUCCACCUCCCCUUCAACUGCCUAAAUUUCUAUUGGAGAGGAGAGCCUGCACCAGGAAGAGAGCUAUUAAAAAAAAAAAAAAAGAAUUUAUUUAUUUCAGAGAGAGAGAGAGAGGGGGAGCACCUGCACACAAGCAGAGGGAGGGGUAGAGGGAGAAGGAGGAGAAGCAGGUUCUCCACUGAGUGUAGGAGGCCAACUCUGGCUCAUGCCAAGACCCUUAGAUCACGACCUGAGCUGAAGACAGAUGCUUAACCUACACCCCAGGAAGAGAGGUAUUAACAGAGAUGCCCCUUUACCUAAGAACCUUAUCUGCAUAAUAGGGAGACCUUUGUUUUUCAAACCAUCUCCUUUCACCUUCCUGCUACUGGCCUUCCUCCCCUUUGUAACCUCAGCUCCUUAGUUAUACCCUUCUCCUUAGCUCACAUAAGCUUCAUGUUGCUUUAUUGUCUUUGGAAUUUCAUGUCUGUGUAGAUUCCAUGUAUGUACACCAAUUAAAUUUGAUUUUUUCCUGUUAAUCUGUUUCAGUUCAAUUGUAAUUCCAGCUAGGAGGACUUUGAAGGGCAAGAAGAUCUUCCUCUCUGACACCACUAUUAAUUAGGCGAAUAAACUCCUAAUUAAUACAUACAGGUUAGAGGUACCAAUGUAUAAACUAAGGACGAACCCCCCCCCCAAAAAAAAACUAGUAGGAAAGGGAGUAGGAAGAGGAGCAGAGGACCUGAGGAAUCCACUGAGUUAGACUUCUUUGAAUAAGCAAGGAUCUGCUGCAGACUAGUAAGCCCCAAUGUUUUUCAGAAAUAACCCACAACGAAUUUCUUUUAAUGUCAAAAGAAUGUCAGUGAUCUGCCUUCCCAACUCACAUACAUAAUGAUAACUGGUAUUUAUCAAGUAGUUAUCAUGCAUCAAUAGUGUUCUAAGUGUCCCAUAUGUAUACAUUUUUAAUUCAUUUAAGCCUUAAAAUCAUGCUUUGAGGUAAGUUUAAUAUCCUCCUCACUAUUAAGGUAUUAAGUAGCUUAAUGAAGUUCACUCACUUACUUAAUGAUAAAGCUGGGGUUUGUAUUCAGGUAACACAACUCCAAAACCUUAUAUUCUCAACCACUUCGUCUUAUUACAACCACACAAGAUAAGACUUCUGGUAUCUGUGGCUUGAAAAAGGAAUGCAUGUGUACAUAAUGAAUUUGAACACCCAUCUCAAUAAACAUCAGUCCCCCUGAGGGGCUUAAUCACACGUGAGAAAUUACUCAUCUAAUUCAGUGCUGUUAUUAACAUCUCUAGGUUGUCUUCUCCAGAUAAGGAACAUAUGAAACUUUAAAAUUUCAAUUUUAGAAUCAGAUUUUAAUAUAGCUGUGAAUAUAAGCAAUCACUGAUUGGAGGCAAAAAUUCUAAUUGUAAAAUAAUUUGGGGUCAUCUUAAAGAUGCAGUGACCCAGCCUACUCUAUCAGUCAAUCAGAAAAAGAAGUACUGCUAUUCAAACUGCAGGAGCAAACACAAUUCUGAUAUGUGUUCUUCUUUUGUAAAAAAUAAUAAUAAAUAAAUAAAUAAAAUUUUAAAAUAAAAAAUUAGACUAGUAAAAAUAAAAUAAUAAGAUAAAAUAAAAUAUCAAAAUCUAUCCAUUCUUUAAGACUCAGAUUGAUUCCCUAAAUCCACCUUUAGCUCUGACUCAGAAUUCCUUGCUCCUUCCAUCUGGCUAUCACAUGUUUUUAUUACAGCAUUUAUCACCUUGUAUUCUAGACCUUCAUAGGUCAGUCUCCUUCACUAAAUUGUAGAUUUCUUAAGGGCAAGCACUUUUCUUAUCUUCUGAGUUUAUUACAAAGCAUAUCUCAUAAAUGUUCUCAUAAAUAUUCCAGGAAUGAGUCUAAAGACUAUGAUAUGUAUAUACAGUCAUAACUUCUCAUGCUUUGUUUUAUUUUUUUUAUUGUUUUAUUGCACUUCCAGAUAUUGUGUUUUCUACAAGUUGAAGGUUUGUGGCAAACCUGCACUGAACGAGUCUAUCAUCACCAUUUUUCCAAAAGCAUUGGCUGACUUCAUGCCUCUGUGUCACAUUCUAAUAAUUCUUGUAAUAUUUUGAACUUUUCAUUAUUAUUAUAUUUGUUACCAUCAUUUGUGAUUAGUGAACUCUGAUGUUAAAAUUGUAAUUGUUUGGAGCAACAUGAACUGUGCCCAAAUAAGGUGGUUAACUCAAUUAAUAUUUUGUGUGUUUCGGCUCCCAGUGACUGUCCUAGCCAUCCCUCCAACUCUCUCCACCUCCUGAAGCCUCCCUGUCCCCUAAGACACAACCAAUAUUAGGUUAGUCCAAUAAGAACCCUACAAGAGCCUGUACUCAAGUGAAAAGAAGAGUCACAUGUCUCUAAUUUUAAAUCAAAAGCGAGAAAUUAUUAAGCUUAGUGAAGAGGGUGUGUCAAAAGCUAAGGCCAAAAGCUAGGACUCUUAUGCUUAAGUUAGCCAAGCUGUGAAUGCAAAGGCAAAGUUCUUGAAAGAGAUUAAAAGUGCUACUCCAGAGGACACAUUAAUGUUAAAAAAUAAAACAGCCUUAUUGCUGAUAUGGAGAAAGUGUUAGUGGUCUGGACAGAAGAUCAAAUCAGCCACAACACUCCCUUAAACCAAAGCCUAAUCCAGACGAAGCAAGGCUCUAACUCUCUUCAAUUCUGUGAAGGCUCAGAGAGGUGAGGAAGCUGCAGGAGAAAAGUUGGAAGCUAGUAAAGGUUGGUUCAUGAGGUUCAAGGAAAGAAGCUCUAUGACAUAAAAGUGCAAGGUGAGGCAGCAAGUGCUGAUGUAGAAGCUGCAGCAAGUUAUCCAGAAGAUCUUGCUGAGAUAAUUAAUAAAGACAGCUACGCUAAACAACAGAUUUUCAAUGUAGAUGAAACAGUCUUCUAUUGGAAGAAGAUGCCAUCUAAGGACUUUCAUCUCUAGAGAAGUAGUCAAUGCCUGGCUGACUCUGCUGUUUAGAGGCUAAUGCAGCUAAUGACUUUAAGUUGAAGCUAAUGCUCAUUUGCCAUUCCAAACAUCCUAAGGCACUUACGAAUUAUACCAAAUCUACUUUGCCUGUGCUCUAUAAAUGGAACAAUAGCCCAGAUGAUGGCACAUCUGUUUACAACAUGGUUUACUGAAUGUUUUAAGCCCACUCUUGGGACCUACUUCUCAGAAGAAAAUGUUUCUUUCAAAAUAUUCCUGCUCACUGACAGACAGUGCACCUGGUUACUCAAGAACUCCAUGGAGAUGUACAAUGAAAUUAAUGUUUUCACCUGCUAAUACAACAUCUGUAGUCCAUGGAUCAAGAAAUCAUUUUGAGGGAUGCCUAGGUGGCUCUGCGGUUGAGAGUCUGCCUUUAGCUCAGGGAGUGAUCCUGGGGUCCUGGGAUUGAGUCCCACAUUGGGCUCCCUGCGAGAAGCCUGCUUCUUCCUCUGCCUAUGUCUCUGCCUCUCUCUCUGUCUCUUAUGAAUAAAUAAAUACAAUCUUUUUAAAAAAGAGAAAUAAUUUUGACUUUCAAGUCUUAUUAUUUAAGAAAUAUAUUUCUUUUUUUUUUUUCCAUUUAUUUAUGAUAGUCACACACAGAGAGAGAGAGAGGCAGAGACAUAGGCAGAGGGAGAAGCAGGCUCCAUGCACCGGGAGCCCGAGGCGGGAUUCCAUCCCGGAUCUCCAGGAUCGCGCCCUGGGCCAAAGGCAGGCGCUAAACCGCUGCGCCACCCAGGGAUCCCAAGAAAUAUAUUUCUUAAGGCUAUACCUGCCUAUGAUGAAUCUGGACAAAGUAAAUUGAAAACCUCUGGAAAGGAUUCACCAUUCUAGAUACCAUUAAGAACAUUUGUGGAGCACCUGGCUGGCUCUACCCAGUUGAUAGAAUAUUUUGACUGUGACUACCUUUAAUGAACAGAAGUAUUUUAAUCUUGACACUUUCCAAUUAGUUUCCCUCCUAUGGUUUUUGGGCAUGGUAUUUUGGGUCUUAUUUUAAAAGUCCUUCCUAAUGUAGGAUAUAUACUGUAGGGAGUUUUAAGAACUCUGUAAUUUGAAUUCUAUUAGAAAGCUUUAAAGAGCUUUGCUUUCCUUGACACUUGAUCUCAAUAUUGUGAGCUCAAGCCCCAUGCUGGGUGUAGAGAUUACUUAAAAAAAAAAAAAAAA